UACAGAAAGGGCAAACGGUAUUCUGCAGUAUUGGGUGUAAAGGGUACGUAGGCGGCUAGUUAAACCCUCUGUUAAAGCUUUGAGAAGAACUGAAGAAAAACGGAGGCAGAUUUUCGAGCUUGAGUUGUGUAGGAGUGGGGAGAAUUUCAUAAGGAAGGAUCAAAUCUGCAGAUCUAUGAAGGAAGACCAAAGGCGAAGGCACCUUUCUAUGCGCAACUGACGCUCAGGUACGAGAGUGUGGGUAUCAAACGGG
rnacentral:rRNA from 1 species